rnacentral:rRNA from 1 species
UACGGGGGGUGCGAGCGUUGUCCGGAAUCACUGGGCGUAAAGGGCGCGUAGGUGGUUUGAUAAGGGUGUGGUGAAAGUCCGGAGCUCAACUCCGGAUCUGCCGUGCCGACUGUCAAACUCGAGGGCUGUAGAGGCAGACGGAAUUCCGGGUGUAGCGGUGGAAUGCGUAGAGAUCCGGAGGAAGACCGGUGGCGAAGGCGGUCUGCUGGGCAGUUUCUGACACUGAUGCGCGACAGCGUGGGGAGCGAACGGG